UACGUAGGGGGCGAGCGUUGUCCGGAUUUAUUGGGCGUAAAGCGCGGGCAGGCGGCCCGGUAAGUCGGCCGUGAAAACGCCGGGCUCAACUCGGCGAGGUCGGGCGAUACUGGCGGGCUCGAGGCUGGUAGAGGGCGGUGGAAUUCCGGGUGUAGUGGUGGAAUGCGUAGAGCUCCGGAGGAACACCAGUGGCGAAGGCGGCCGCCUGGGCCAGUCCUGACGCUGAGCCGCGAAAGCGU
rnacentral:rRNA from 1 species